UACGUAGGGUGCGAGCGUUGUCCGGAAUUACUGGGCGUAAAGAGCUCGUAGGCGGUCUGUCGCGUCUGCUGUGAAAACUCAGGGCUUAACCCUGAGCUUGCAGUGGGUACGGGCAGACUAGAGUGCGGUAGGGGAGACUGGAAUUCCUGGUGUAGCGGUGAAAUGCGCAGAUAUCAGGAGGGAACACCGGUGGGCGAAAGGC
rnacentral:rRNA from 1 species